AACGAACGCUGGCGGCAGGCUUAACACAUGCAAGUCGAACGCACCUUUCGGGGUGAGUGGCAGACGGGUGAGUAACGCGUGGGAAUCUACCCUUCUCUACGGGAUAGCUCCGGGAAACUGGAAUUAAUACCGUAUACGUCCUGAGGGCGAAAGAUUUAUCGGGGAAGGAUGAGCCCGCGUUGGAUUAGCUAGUUGGUGGGGUAAAGGCCUACCAAGGCGACGAUCCAUAGCUGGUCUAAGAGGAUGAUCAGCCACAUUGGGACUGAGACACGGCCCAAACUCCUACGGGAGGCAGCAGGGGGGAAUAGUGGACGAUGGGCGCAAGCCUGAUCCAGCCAUGCCGCGUGAGUGAUGAAGGCCCUAGGGUUGUAAAGCUCUUUCAGUGGGGACGAUAAUGACGGUACCCACAGAAGAAGCCCCGGCUAACUUCGUG
rnacentral:rRNA from 1 species